rnacentral:misc_RNA from 1 species
UUUUUUUUAUUUUUUAAAACAUGUCAAAUUAUAUAAAUAAUUGUUUAUCAUGAUUAAAUUUUCAUCUAUUCAUUGUACCUUCUAUUUUCGUCAUAUGUAUAUAAAAGAUCAAGUUUGGAAAGUGGUGCCCUCUGUUUCAAACAGUUUGGAAUAUUGUCAGCGAGCAGGCGCUGGACCGCUUUCUGAGGCUGCGUGUGGGAUAAAGAGCGAAAGACAGAGAAAGAUCGCGAUUCAAACUCGAAAUCUAACGAGGAACUCUCAGAGCCACGCGAGUGGCCGCGCGAUACGGCACGGGUGUUUGAAAACGGCCGAUAACAGUGUGCAUCGCGCCAUGUGUACGAAGAAAAGUGCGAAUUUGCUGUGGCUUCUUUAUUCCAUAUUGCUCAUUUGUGGAUUUGUUCUGCCAUACGGACGCUGCCAAAACGCGGAUCCGCGAGAACAAUUCGAUAACAGGGAUGACGCGAGGAAAAUAGACGAUCUGCGCGAUGAACUGCAGGCUGACGAUGCGGAUCAGUCGUAUGUCUGGGAUGCGUCUCUCGAGGGUAAAAAGACGCUCGAUGAGAACGGGAGCUCCCUCUCGUCUCGAAACGCGGCAGAGGUGUCGGAGACGGAAGUGGAAACAGCGCCUCGGGCAGACGGAAAUAGGGACAAGGUCCUCGUUCCACCAGGAGGUGUUUCCAACUCAUCGUUUCGGCCGGGUCUGAAUGUCACAGCCUCGACAUCGAUCACUCGUCGAAAGGGCGACGGCGGUGACAGAUCCCGGAAGAAACGUCGCAGGAACAAAGAUUCGAAGAGCGCAAACACAGAGGUGGAUCGUCAACGAGACGGCACCCAGGAGAACGAGAUCAGGGGAAAGCGAAACGGGCAGACGAAGAAGCCUAAAGAUUCCGCGGCGAGGAGGUAUCGCGCGGAGCGUCGCAGGAGGAGGAAGAAUCGCGAGCGGAAACGCGGGAGGAAGAGGGCGAGGAACGGCGAGAAGAACGGCGAGGCGCGUCGAGCGUCCAAGUUCAAGAGAAGGAUGAACGACGCGCCCGCGGCGCUGCUUCUCGGCAAGAUCGAUGGCCACGUGGUGGACGACACGAACGUGACUUGGAGAGGUAACCAAACGCGCUCGAGCGGCACCGAUGUUACGUCACCGUCCAAUCUUCAGGAUCAAUUAACCACCGAGGCUACGAAGAGAUCCGCGCAGACAACGUCGCGUUACAACAUGUACGAGGACACCGUGGAGAGAGAAUUUUCGAAACAGCUCGAGAAAGAGAUCUCGCGGACCCAGAUGGAGGAUCCGGCCAGCUUGGAGAACCGUAUCCUGGGCAGCUCUGUGCCCAAGUCAUCGAGGAAAAAUUGGGGUCGAAAACAGGAGGAGGAGGAGGAGGAGGAGGAGGAGGAGGAGGAGGAGAAGGCGGUGGAGAAGGGUGGUAACACGAACGAGGCGAAGUUCGGCAACUCUAGGUACGACGCUGAGAAGAUGUUGGGCUACUCGAGGACGGAGGAGGAUCUGCCCAUUCUGGAUUUGGAGAACGAGGUCCUGGCGAGGACGUUGAAGGAUUACAACGCGUACAUGACGUCGAGUUUGAGAUUGUCGAUGGUGGCGAGGCGGGACGAGGUCGAGCGGAGGAGGGCAGGCGGAUCGCAUUUUCAUGGAAAGCCCAUAAUCGACGAGGCAGAGNUGGACAGGUUGGGUGGAAAGAAGAGUAUGGAAUGGGCGAGCAGCACGGUGGCGUACGAGGACGAUACGAAGGGGGAUUUAUCUUGCAUAAACGGGACGUUCGUGCCGGCACCCCUCGCCCGGCAUGCGCUGAUCAAAUAUGUAAAAUCAUCGAUACCAGGCCACGAAUAUUUGGAAGCCGAUUACGAAUGUGCCCCAGGAUUCUAUAUGGUGAGCACAACAAACAGAUUGUUAUGCAGAAAUCGUCAAUGGAUGGGACAACUACCAAAGUGCAAGAUCAAAGCGAAUUUUGAAGGUGCGUGCAUCGACGCUUCCUGCGAUCACGUUUGCAAAGAAAUCGAUGGCAGACCGAUGUGUUCCUGUUACAAAGGUUUCCGGUUGGAGAAUGAUAAAUGUAUGGAUGUGAACGAAUGCAAGGAUAACAAGGGAGGUUGCGAACAUAAAUGUGUGAACAUCCCGGGAUCCUUUCGUUGUGAGUGCCCAAAGGGGAUGAAACUAGACGAGGACAGGUUCACAUGCAAGGAUAUCAAUGAGUGUCUGUUGAACAACGGGCACGGGCCUUGUCAGGAUACGUGUCGGAACACCAUAGGCGGCUAUGAAUGUUCCUGCGACAGUCUACAGGACACCGUGCUGUCAGCCGACAACCACACGUGUCAGACAGCGGGUCCCUGUAGCGUCAACAACGCGGGAUGCUCCCACACCUGUCUCUCCACCAUGGGACGAGUAUUUUGUCUCUGUCCCGAUGGUUUCAUCCUGGAGGACGACUGGAAAACCUGUCAAGACGUGGACGAGUGCGCCCAACCAGAUUUGCAAACGGAGAUGUGUCGGUACGGUUGUAUCAACACACCAGGAUCUUAUCGAUGCGCCGAGCCAAUGGAGUUGAAGGAUCAACCGAUACUGGACAGCUUGUCCAUCACGUGCCUGCCGGGCUACGAAGCCACCCCCGAUGGAACUUGUAUCGAUAUCAAUGAGUGUACGGUUGACAACGGUGGGUGCACAGAAGUCUGCGAAAAUACGGAUGGGAGUUUCUUCUGCGCCUGUGACGGUGACGAGAAAGCUCUAUCGUCGGAUGGCAAGUCUUGCGUGGAUAUAAAUAAUGUAUCCUGCCCACCAUUGAAUCCGGAGGGUCGAGGAUAUUUAAUGUGUUCACGUUUAGCUACUCCAAAGCCAUGGAGAGGUAGACGAAGAGUGGCCAAUCGACCAGGUACCAAAUGUUUCUUGAAGUGUCCCCAUGGGUAUCAACUUCACGGAGAAUACGAAUUGACUUGUAGAUCGGAUGGUUCGUGGGACGGCCCAAAACACGGCGAGUGUGUCAGAUACAGCAAGCCUCGUUUAGAGUGCCCUAAAGACGUGGUCGCGGAACUGCCACCAGGGAGAGACGAGGCUUUCGUGACGUUCGAUCAACCCUCGACAGAUCUCGAUUGGUUCCGGAGGGGAGGCGCCAAAAGUUAAAGACUGUCCGAACGACAUAGAGGUCACGGGGAGAAAUGGGACAGCGAUUACGUGGACCGAGCCAAUUUUCACGGACAACGUGAAGGUGACCCGGAUUAGGAGCAACGAGGUUGAUGCCUGUUGGAGAAUAUGUUAUAGGUUCUACAUAGACUUUGGACUUCUUCGUUUGUACUAAUCAUGAAGAUUUAUACGAGUAUAGCUUCAGUAUAUUUCAAUUAUAUAAGAUGUUGAUGAGACAGAUUCGAAGGGUCGAUUUUAGAGGCUAAAAGAAGCUGAAAAGUUGGUCAUCCAUUACUUAUGAAGAAUUAGAAGUUUUGUUAGAUAAAGGAAGAUAGAAUAAAA